GAUGAACGCUGGCGGCGUGCCUAAUACAUGCAAGUCGAGCGAACGGACGAGAAGCUUGCUUCUCUGAUGUUAGCGGCGGACGGGUGAGUAACACGUGGAUAACCUACCUAUAAGACUGGGAUAACUUCGGGAAACCGGAGCUAAUACCGGAUAAUAUUUUGAACCGCAUGGUUCAAAAGUGAAAGACGGUCUUGCUGUCACUUAUAGAUGGAUCCGCGCUGCAUUAGCUAGUUGGUAAGGUAACGGCUUACCAAGGCAACGAUGCAUAGCCGACCUGAGAGGGUGAUCGGCCACACUGGAACCGAGACACGGUCCAGACUCCUACGGGAGGCAGCAGUAGGGAAUCUUCCGCAAUGGGCGAAAGCCUGACGGAGCAACGCCGCGUGAGUGAUGAAGGUCUUCGGAUCGUAAAACUCUGUUAUUAGGGAAGAACAUAUGUGUAAGUAACUGUGCACAUCUUGACGGUACCUAAUCAGAAAGCCACGGCUAACUACGU
rnacentral:rRNA from 1 species